UGGUGGUAAUGGCAAGAAGGUAACACCCGUUCCCAUUCCGAACACGAAGGUUAAGCUUCUUAGCGCCGAUGGUACUGCAGGGGAGGCCCUGUGGAAGAGUAGGACGCUGCCA
rnacentral:rRNA from 1 species